GGUGAGAUGGCCGAGUGGUCUAAGGCGCUGUGUUUAGGUCUGGUUCGCUUGUUCGAGUCAACUGUUUACCGCAGUCAGUAAUGGCGUGGGUUCGAAUCCCACUCUCAUCA
rfam:Pestalotiopsis fici W106-1 unplaced genomic scaffold PFICI_Scf_6, whole genome shotgun sequence.